UGAUAUGUUUGAUAUUAGGUU
rnacentral:ncRNA from 2 species